rnacentral:tRNA from 1 species
GUGGGUAUAACUCAGUGGUAGAGCAUUUGACUGCAGAUCAAGAGGUUCCUGGUUUAAAUCUGGGUGCCACCU